rnacentral:rRNA from 1 species
UACGUAGGGGCAAGCGUUGUCCGGAAUCAUUGGGCGUAAAGAGCGUGUAGGCGGCUUGGUAAGUCCGCUGUGAAAGUCCAGGGCUCAACCCUGGAAUGCCGGUGGAAACUGUCAGGCUCGAGUCCGGAAGAGGCGAGUGGAAUUCCUGGUGUAGCGGUGAAAUGCGCAGAUAUCAGGAGGAACACCAAUGGCGAAGGCAGCUCGCUGGGACGGUACUGACGCUGAGACGCGAAAGCGUGGGGAGCAAAC